GCAGAGAUGGCUUAGUGGUUGAUAGCUCCGGCUUGAAAACCGGUAUAGUUCAAGGAACUAUCGAGGGUUCGAAUCCUUUUGCU
rnacentral:tRNA from 1 species